CACAAGCAGACAACUCAGGGCCCCAGUGGUGGCAUGGGUCCCGGCCAGCGUCGAAUAAAAACUGUAUAUUUGUUUGCAAUUUUGUAUUCCUAAGUAAUUAGUGUCAUAAUUAAAUUUUCUGAAUAACUCAGUUUGGUGACUGAGCUUGAUUCCCAACACUAAUGGAGCCUCUCUGACGCCACUCCACCCCUUACAAAUGAAGCCCGUUAAUGGUUUAGCCCACCCAUUAACGAAAGGAAAGAAGGAGAGAAGGAAGAAAACUGAGGAAAAGAAAAAGGGAAGGAUGAACAGCUCCCCCACCAGACUUUAGUCUCAGUGGAGAGUCCUUGCCAUCAGCUCUUCCUUUGGCUUAAUAUGACGCACGUAGCCACUCCGUACACCCAAAGCAAGCGCCCAUGGUCAGCCACAGUUUCCCUGGUCCAGUUCCUGCACCCAGCUCUCACAGAACUUUACAGUAUUCAUGAUUUUGCCUUUGCCAUCUAGUGCUAGUCUCUCAGUUCAUGUUUCAUGUUAACCUAGU